AACGAACGCUGGCGGCAUGCCUAACACAUGCAAGUCGAACGAAGGCUUCGGCCUUAGUGGCGCACGGGUGCGUAACGCGUGGGAAUCUACCCAGAGGUACGGAAUAACUCUCCGAAAGGAGUGCUAAUACCGUAUGAUGUCGCAAGACCAAAGAUUUAUCGCCUUUGGAUGAGCCCGCGUAGGAUUAGCUAGUUGGUGGGGUAAAGGCCCACCAAGGCGACGAUCCUUAGCUGGUCUGAGAGGAUGAUCAGCCACACUGGGACUGAGACACGGCCCAGACUCCUACGGGAGGCAGCAGUGGGGAAUAUUGGACAAUGGGCGAAAGCCUGAUCCAGCAAUGCCGCGUGAGUGAUGAAGGCCUUAGGGUUGUAAAGCUCUUUUACCCGGGAAGAUAAUGACUGUACCGGGAGAAUAAGCUCCGGCUAACUCCGUGCCAGCCGCCGCAGUAAAAC
rnacentral:rRNA from 1 species